UACGUAGGUGGCGAGCGUUGUCCGGAUUUACUGGGCGUGAAGGGAGCGUAGGCGGGCUUUUAAGUGAGAUGUGAAAUACUCGGGCUCAACUUGAGUGCUGCAUUUCAAACUGGAAGUCUAGAGUGCAGGAGAGGAGAAUGGAAUUCCUAGUGUAGCGGUGAAAUGCGUAGAGAUUAGGAAGAACACCAGUGGCGAAGGCGAUUCUCUGGACUGUAACUGACGCUGAGGCUCGAAAGCGUGGGGAGCAAACAGG
rnacentral:rRNA from 1 species